rnacentral:tRNA from 1 species
GGGCGCGGUGGAUUGGGAUAUCCUGCGCGGCUGGGGGCCGGGCAUCGUGCUGGGCGCCGUGCUGGGAGUGCUGGUGGCGUCCAGCCUGCGCUCG